UCCUAUUGGGAACAUUAGAUCCUUCAGCUAAACAUCAUCCACUACUACUUACUAUUAUUUGUCAUUCUUUUUGAGGGAAGCUUAAACAUAUGUCAUACCAAGUACAUUCAAUGUUUCCUAAUAACAAGUGUAAAUAAGUUGAGGGUUUAUGGCGUAGAAAUCCAAGAAAAUAAUUUGAGCCCACCAUAUUUUGUUCAGGUUCUCUUUUAUUAUAUGAUCUUGGUCUCCAAGCAUAAGCGUAAAUAAAUAGCACUCUUAACGAAGUCCAUUAUACAGUAACUUGUAAUAAUUAGAUUAUACUCCCAAUUAAUGUAGAAGUAGGAAUUCCUCUCAUUAGUUUAUGUGCAAGAGAAUUAGCUCAGUAUUACCCUCCAGAAAAAUGGUCGAUUUUGGCUUUAACAGUCAAUAUUAACUAUUUUAUUUCUGUUGUAAUUAUUUGAAUAUCUUCAAAUGAAGAGUUAUCAAACUUGUAGAAUUUUCAGUUUCCUAAUCUCUAAAUUUAGCGUUAUAGAUAGUGAUUUUUAUUUUUGAAACAGGUAACUUUAAUUAUAGAUAGUGAUUUAUUCAAGUCCCUUUACUUAAAAAAUUGCUAACUUCAUCUACAAAAGGUGAAACAAAAAAAGACUAAAUUGGGACUGAACAUGUAUAUGAUAUCAAUAGGUUACCUGCGAAUCACAUUCCUACAUGAAAGCUAAACCAGAAAGUUAAUUAAACAGAACCUAAGCAUCAUGUAAUGCAAAACGAAAAGGGGACAGACCACAUGCUAAGUUAUGUAAAUGCAUUUCCGGGACACUGCUUUCUGGUAUCCACAUCAUGAAC
rnacentral:lncRNA from 1 species